rnacentral:rRNA from 1 species
GACGAACGCUGGCGGCGUGCUUAACACAUGCAAGUCGAACGGGAUCCGGGCUUUCGGGUUUGGUGAGAGUGGCGAACGGGUGAGUAACACGUGAGUAACCUGCCCCCUUCUUUGGGAUAACGUCGGGAAAUCGGCGCUAAUACUGGAUAUUCUUGCUGCAUCGCAUGGUGUGGUUUGGAAAGGGUUUCUGGUGGGGGAUGGGCUCGCGGCCUAUCAGCUUGUUGGUGGGGUGAUGGCCUACCAAGGCUUUGACGGGUAGCCGGCCUGAGAGGGUGUCCGGCCACACUGGGACUGAGACACGGCCCAGACUCCUACGGGAGGCAGCAGUGGGGAAUAUUGCACGAUGGGCGCAAGCCUGAUGCAGCGACGCCGCGUGAGGGAUGACGGCCUUCGGGUUGUAAACCUCUUUCAGUAUGGAACAAGGAUCCUUCUUUUGGGGGGUUUGAGGGUACGUGCAGAAGAAGCGCCGGCUAACUACGUG